GGGCUCCAGGUUAAGAAUUUCCUAGGCUGGGAGCAGUGGCUCAGGCCUGUAAUCCCAGGACUUUGGGAGGAUCUCAAUCUUGAGCCCAGGAGUUCAAGACUAACCUGGACAACUUAGCGAGAUCCUGUCUCUUUUAAAAAAUGAAGAUUUUUAAAAUGAUAAAGGAAAAGUGUAAUAAUAGGGCCGGGUGCGGUGGCUCAUGCCUGUAAUCCCAGCACUUUGGGAGGCCGAGGCGGGCGGAUCACUUGAGAUGAGGAGUUCAAGAGCAGUCUGGCCAACAUGGUGAAACCGUGUCUCUACUAAAAAUACAAAAAAAAAAAAACUAGUGGAGCGUGGUGGCACACGCCUAUAAUCUCAGCUCCUCGGGAGGCUGAGACAGGAGAAUCUCUUGAACCCGGGAGGCAGAGGUUGCAGUGAGCCAAGACUUCACCACUGCACUCCAGCCUGGGCGACAGAGUAAGACUCUCAAAAAAAGAAAAAAUAAAUGAUAACAAAAUUUCUUGAAUUGCUUCAUUUUCACAGUACUGAUGUAGGGGUAAUUGGAUGUAGCUGGUUCAUAGAGCUUUUUACCGUAUGACUUGAGCUGGUGAGGUAAUUGCCCUGCACUAGCCACACUGGGAAAACUUAGGAGGAAGUCUGACUUUGCUGAAGGGUUUCACAAAGAAUUAGGAAAGCUUGGCCAACUCUUCGUUAAAAGAGGAAGAAAUGGUCUUUCUCUGCUAGAGAUAUCUUUGCAGUUUUGAAGCUAGAAAUGUAGGGACACCAUUCCCCACACCAUACUGUGACUAGUGGACACCAUACUGUGACUAGUGGAUUUCCCAUGGCUUAGCAGUUCCUUAACCCCAGCCUUUUGCUUCAUCUAUUAACUGGAAGAACUGCCCUGUGUGUGUAACUUUGUUAUAAAUCAGUGAAGACUGGGCCAGGGCAUGGUGGGUCACGCCUGUAAUCCCAGCACGUUGGGAGGCUGAGGUGGGCGGAUCAACUGAGGUGAGGAGUUAGAGACCAGCUUGGCCAACACAGUGAAACCCUGUCUCUACUAAGAUACAAAAUUAGCCGGGCGUGGUGGUGGGCACCUGCAAUCAAUCCCAACUACUCAGUAGGCUGAAGCAGGAGAAUUGCUUGAACCCGUGAGGCAGAGGUUGUAGUGAGCCAAGAUUGCACCACUGCACUCCAGCCUGGGUGACAGAGCAAGACUCCAUCUCAAAAACCCACUGUACUCCAGCCUGGGUGACAGCAAGACUCCAUCUCAAAAAAAACAAAAAAACAAAACAAAACCAAAAACUGCAUUCAGCCUGGGUGCCACAGCAAGACUCCAUUUCAAAAAAAAAAAAAAUCAAUGAAGAUUGGCCAUGCGUGGUGGCUCACGCCUGUCAUCGCAGUACUUUGGGAGGCUGAGGCUGGAGGAUCUCUUGAGCCCAGGAGUUUGAGGCCAGCCUGGCCAACAUGGUGAAACCCUGUCUGUACUAAGAAUACAAAAAUUAGCCAGGUGUGGUGGUGGGAGCCUGUAAUCCUGCUACUUGGGAGGCUGAAGCAGGAGAAUCAUUUGAACUCAGAAGUCAGAGGUUGCAGUGAGCCGAGAUUGCGCCACUGCACUCCAGCCUGGGCGACAGUGAGACUGUCACCCUCCCGCCCCCGCCCCCGCCCCCCCAAAAAAAGUCAAUGAAGAUUAAGUGAGAUGACGUCUGUGAAAAUCCUGGAAUUGUCCUUACCUGAGUUACCUACACUACAAAUUAUCCAUAAUUUAUUUCACUCCAGCUAACUGUCCCCUGCUCUCCAGCAGCUUGCUGGGCUACCUCUGUCUCAACAUCAGUCAUGAUGAUACCAGUGAGGGCAAAUGGAAGCAACUGAAAUAAGAGCAAAACCCUGUCUCUAUACAAUUUUCUUUCUUUUUUUUUUGAGACAGAGUCUCGCUCUCACCCGGGCUGGAGUGCGGUGGCGCCAUCUCGGCUCACUGCAACCUCCGCCUCCCGGGUUCAAGCAGUUCUCCUCUGUUCUUAGGAUAUAGACAAAACCACUUGCAUGGCAGGCAAGGUCUUGUAUGGUCUUGCCUCCACUCAACACUAGCUCGACUCAAUCCCUUGUUCUCAGUCCCUUGUUUUCCCAAGUAGCUGGGAUUACAGGUACCCACCACCACGCCCAGCUCAGUUUUUUUGUAUUUCAGAUGGGGUUUCACCAUGUUGGCCGGGCUGGUUUCCAACUCCUGACCUCAAGUUAUCCACCCCCCUCGGCCUCCCAAAGUGCUGGGAUUACAGGCGUGAGCCACCAUGCCCAACCUAUACAAUUUUGAAAAAGCCGGGCAUGGUGGCAUGUACUUCAGGAGGGUGAGGCAGGAGGAUUACUUGAGGCCAGGAGUUCAAGGCUGCAGUGACCUGUGAUCCUGCACUCCAGCCUGGGUGACAGCGAGACCCUGUGGCUGAAGUAAAAUGCUGGGAAAAUAAAAGUUUUCCAGCAAAGUUCCAAUCAAACAUAAAAUCCUUACCAAAAUCAAAAUGAACUGACUUGAGUUGAACUAAAGUUACUGAUGGUGCUGUUUAGUUCCUAUGAAAAGUACUCACAUUCAGUAAAUGCUGGUGAGGUACCAGAGCUUGAGUGAUGAGCACAGACUCCAGAAAUUGGGUGCCUGAGUUCCUAUCCCAGCUCUACCACUUCUUAGUUUGUGAGUUAACUUUCCUCAAUGUAAAAUGGGACUGUUAAUUGUCCUUACUAUGUAGGGACAAAUAGGGAGGUCCUAAGUGAGUUAAGACAUGGUGAAUGGGCUGAGUGCAGUGGCUCAUGCCUAUAAUCACAGCACUUUGGGAGGCCGAGGCUGGAGGAUCACUUGAGCCCAGGAGUUUGAGGCCAGCCUGGCCAACAUGGUGAAACCCCAUCUGUACUUAAUACACAAAUUAGCCGGGCGUGGUGGCAGGAGCCUAUAAUCCCAGCUACUCGGGAGGCUGAGGCAGGAGAAUCACUUGAACCCAGGAGGUGGAGGUUGCAGUGAGCCGAGAUCACGCCAUUGCACUCCAGCCUGGGUAACGCAGCGAGACCCCGUCUCAAAAAAGAAAAGAAAAAUAUGGCAGCUUUCAUUUUAAUUAAAAAAUAAAUAAAAGACAUGGUGAAUACCAGUCUAGCAUGUUAUGUAUGCAUUGGCUGUUAUCUCCUUACCAUGUAUUUUGUGCUAAGUGAGUGGUCCUUGGUCUAUUAGGGAAGAUAGACUUUAAUCAUUUAAUCUCUCAAGCAUGUAAAGUUGUAAAAGUGAAACAUGUCAAGGAAGGUUCCAGUCAGGGGAGUUCAGGGAAAGCUUAGCUGAGGAAGGGAAGAGAGUUACUCAGGUGAAGAAGAGAGGAAUAGUGUGUAUGGAGGCUCUGGUGGGAAGGAGCUUGGGGAUUACAAGUUACUGCAGGAAUGCCAAUGUCCCCAAAACAGAGAACAAGGGAUUGAGUUGAGCUAGUGUUGAGUGGAGGCAAGACCAUAUAAGACCUUCCCUGCCAUGCAAGUGGUUUUGUCUGUAUCCUAAGAGCAAAGGAGAGCUAUUGAAAGGUUUUAAGAAGGAUGGUCAUUACAGUGUCGAGAUUGGAUGAGAAGGGGAAAGAGUAGAUGCAGUAAUCACAUAGGACAUGAUACUUGUGAAAAGGAGAAGGGUGGAAGUAAUGGUAGAAACACAAAGAGAUAGCGAAAUUAAUUGAGCUUGGUGAUUUUUUUUUUUUUUUUUCUGAGACAGGAUCUCGCUUUGUCUCCCAGGCUAGAAUGCAGUGGCAUAAAGAACUUUGCGAUUGAUUGAAAGAAGAGGGAAGUGUCCACUGGUCCCUACUAGAUUUCUGGCUUGCACUGUGGAAUGGGUGGUGAUGCCACUUUGCAAUGUUUCCCAAGUGGGAGGAGUUGGUGGCCACAUGGUUUAGUAGGAUGGGGAGGAUUACACCGAGACUUCAAGUUGCAUUUCCUUGAACUAUGUAUGGAUUGCAUCAGGCUUUUUUUUAGACAGGGUCUUACAGUGUCACCCAAGCCGGAGUGCAGUGGCGCAAUCUCGGCUCACUGCAGCCUCCACCACCUCUAUUCAAGCUGGGACUACAGGCACAUGCCACCACACCCAGCUAAUUUUUAUAUUUUUUGUAGAGACAUGGUCUCACCACAUUGUCCAGGCUGUCUCGAACUCCUGAGCUCAAGCAGUCCGUCUGACUCAGCCUCCUAAAGUGCUGAGGAUCUUGCUGUGUUGCCCAGGCUGAAAUGCAAUGGCAUGAUCUUGGCUCACUGCAGCCUCAACCUCCCGGGCUCAAACAAUCCUCCUCGCUUAGCCUCCCAAAAAGCUGGUACUACAGCUAGUACCAGCGCAGGAGAGCCAAAUAUGUACAUCUCUUCCCAAAUCUACAUUAGUAACAUCGUAUUAGUAGCUCAAAGUUGGUCAUGGUGGGAGUAUUUACACCACAGAAAACAGAAACUACUGGAGGAUGUGGUGCACCAGAAUAAGAGAAUAAACCAAGAAACAGGAAGACGUGAUCCAGGCAACAGGGUAUUCCAGUAUAGGCAGAGGAGACAUGGCCCAAAAUGAACCAUUAUGUUUCUCCAUGGUGGCAUGUCAGGGCUGGUCAGAUUGGAGAGAUGUGAAGGAGCAAAGAGAAGGAGCCAGAAGCUAGAGGGGGCUGCUUGGUGGAAGCUGUGGUCUUUGCUAAAGGGACACAGACAACCCAUGUGACCUGGCAAUGGAGAAAGCCAGAGUACUCUAACCAUCUUUUCCUUGUGUCUUCUUAUCUUCUUUGGAUAUUACUAAUUGGAUAAACAGAAGCUGAAGUCAGAGGGCAAGGGAGCCAUUCAUGCAGUCCAUGUGGGUCAGCACCCGCUGGGGUCCACAGUGGGAUGAAGACGGGUUCUGAAAGGCAAAUGGAAGACAUCCAGUAUAACCUCUCCCUGAACAAUUUAAUUCUGGAGUGUGAGCAGGAACCAGUUAACUACAUUCAUUGUCCAACCCCCACUGGUUUGAAAGAAGACUCCAAAUUCUUGGCAUACGAAUCAGCUGUUCGGUAGCUCCACCUUAUCCCUGCAGCGAAGCAGCAGAACCGCCAAUGGCGGCACCUCAGGAUUCACACUGUGGGUGGUGAGACCUUCCACUGAAGGAGGUACUGGUGGAUGCUCUCAGCAUCUCGCUUUAGCCAAGCAGCAUUCAGUAGAAUAUUUUCACAACACUGCUGGAUGGUACGCUCAGCUGAAGGAGCUGGGUGACUCUCGAAGAAAGCCUGGUAUAAAACAACCCAGAAUGCAGGAUCAUUAUUAGCAGUAAGAAGUUAAUAUUACAGGUUAUGAAAAAACACCCACUGGUCUAUAUGAAGGAUGCAUAAUCUUCAGGCAUGAGAAUUUACCACUGCCACCCUCAGGCUAAAAGAAAACAAGCAACUCCUUGGACCCGAAUAUAGGAAUUCUCCUCUUAAAUAUUAUAUGCUUAACAAACUAAUCAAAAGUUAAUAAAGAGACAGAACCUACUGCCUUUCUUUUAGGCUAAUUGUAUAGUGGUAAAUACAGUCUUUGGACUGAAGACUUGGAACUUGAAUCUAGGCUUGGUCAUGUACUAGCUUGUGACUGUGAGAAAAUUAACUGCUGUAAGUCUCAGUUUUCUCAACUAUGAGAAAAUAUUCACUCCAGAAGAUUAAAGAGACAAUCCAUAUAAACAUUUGACAAAAUACCUAGCACAGAGUACUUAAGGAUUCAACACAUUUUGGCUGCUUCAAAUAAAGAUUAAUUUGUAAGGGAUGAUAAUACAAAGAAGUUUAAAUUGCUGCUGUGCCCUAAUAACUUAACACCUCAUGGUCUUUUUUUUUUUUUUGAGACAGGGUCUCACUCUGUUGCCCAGGCUAAAGUGCAAUGAAACGAUCAUGACUCAUUGCAGCCUCAACCUCCUGGGCUCAAGUAAACCUCCCACCUUAACUUCCUGGGUAGAUGGGACCACAAGCGUGCACUCCCAGGCCUAAUUGUCUUUUCCUUUUUGUAGAGAUGGGGUCCUACCAUGUUGCCCAGACUGGUCUUGAACUCUUGAGCUCAAGCGAUCCUCCCACCUCAGCCUCCCAAAAUGCUGGAAUUACAGGAAUCCAACAUUUUUAAUACAGUAAAACAAACAAUUUCUAAGUUUAUAAUUUAUCACAAUGCUUAAUGAUUAAAAGUUGAAUAAACUUUUCUAAUGGAGUACACCUGGUUUCAUAGAAAACAAAGCCACUCUUAAACAGCAGCUAGCAAAAUGAUAGGGCUUUUCCUUUAGUCACCGCAGGUGUGAAAGACAGAAUGACUAAUCCAUCUGAUUAAACAGAGACCUUUUAGAAAUCAAUAACCUUAUUUACACAGAUGACAAUUGCUACUGUUCCAAGGCUCCUAAUCAUGGUUCAGUUCUCAGGGCCUCAAGUCUUUUUCCAUUCCAUCUCAGUAAGUAGUACCAACAUUUACACACCAGAAACCUGGGGAGUAUCCUGGCUUGUUUUUCUUCCUCUCCCAGAUACGCUCACAACAGAGAAGCCAAUCAAUAAAUAUUGUUGAACUAAUGGUUAACAAA